AAUCCGAUGGCUCUUCAUUGCAGGCUCUUGCAAAUUCUGGUGUAUGCCAAGUGUUUUCUGGUCCAGAAGUUAUACAAAAAGUAGUUGAUAUUGGACGUCUUGGCAAAUCAACAGGUUUAGCAUUUGUUGAUUGUUCAGCUAGUGCUGAGACUAUUGGAGUGCUAAACCAGGUUGUAGAUUUUGGUUGUUGUGUGGUGCUGGCUAACAAGAAGCCUCUUACUGUGCCAAUGGAGGAUUAUGAUAAGUUGGUGUCACAGCCCCGUCGCCU
rnacentral:misc_RNA from 1 species